rnacentral:rRNA from 1 species
GUCGCGAAGCGGAUGAGGAGAGCUUGCUCUCCGAUUCACCGGCGGACGGGUGAGUAAUGCCUAGGAAUCUGCCUGGUAGUGGGCGGACAACGUUUCGAAAGGAACGCUAAUACCGCAUACGUCCUACGGGAGAAAGUGGGUGGAUCUUCGGACCUCACGCUAUCAGAUGAGCCUAGGUCGGAUUAGCUAGUUGGUGGGGUAAUGGCCUACCAAGGCGACGAUCCGUAACUGGUCUGAGAGGAUGAUCAGUCACACUGGAACUGAGACACGGUCCAGACUCCUACGGGAGGCAGCAGUGGGGAAUAUUGGACAAUGGGCGAAAGCCUGAUCCAGCCAUGCCGCGUGUGUGAAGAAGGUCUUCGGAUUGUAAAGCACUUUAAGUUGGGAGGAAGGGCUGCUGGUUAAUACCCUGCAGUUUUGACGUUACCAACAGAAUAAGCACCGGCUAACUUCGUGCCAGCAGCCGGCGGUAAUUACGAAGGGGUGCAAGCGUUAAUCGGAAUUACUGGGCGUAAAGCGCGCGUAGGUGGUUCGUUAAGUUGGAUGUGAAAGC